AUCGCAUUCUCUCCCACGUUGGUUUUCCGCUUGAAAAAAUUAUGUACGUGAGUGGACGCGAUCACGUUCUCUCUCUCGCUCCCGAAAGAACCCACACCAACCGGCUCCCCUGGCCCUACCCCUCCCGAUCUGGUCGAUGCCACAAUCUCGCCACCGAAUCCGGCGUUGCCCACCUCCUCUUCCAAUCUUGUGAGCUGCAGUCCGCCACCACCGAUGCCGCUCGGUUACCGUCCGGAACUUGCCACUUGCGAUGGUCCGAGGCCGCCGAAGCCGGCGACUUCGAAGCAUCCGCCCGGAGCUACUUCGCCCUCGACGUUGAGGAGGGAGUGGGCCUAAGCUCCUGGUCUCCCAGGGCCCGCCGCCGCUGGGCUCAUACAUGGCGCCGAUCCGGUCACCGGCCACUGCUCCCUCUCAGUUCGUGCUCCCUCCUACCUCACCUUCCCCUGUUUUUGUUCCGCAGGUUCUUGAGGCCAGGUGCGGGCGUGCACCAACUAGCGACUCGGAGAGGAGCUUUGGCGGCCGAGGCGGGGAGCUUGUACAUGUGUUCCUGUAGGCUGUACUAAUGAAGGAAGACAAGCAAGUCGUCGAUUGCUGCAAUUGGGCGGUAGGGAAGAUCGGAGUCAACCAGUGUGACGGUUGUCAAGGCAACAGUAACCUUCUAAAGGACCUUCUAUAGUCUCCUGCCAACGCCGGAUUAGAUCGAGGUCGCGGUUGAUUUGGUGAAUUGCGCGUACCUAGGGCUGAACCGAGAACGCUGGGAGGGAUCGCCUCAUGACGCUCGGAGAACUCGUCACACUCGGCAGCCCCAAGCAGCGGCCCAAAACAUCUUCAAGUUCAAUGGAUCAAGAAGGUUGUUCCUGUUGCUGAUGUGUGCUGGUUAUAACUUGGAUUCCAUGGAUGAUGAUGAGAUUCUGGCGGUAGUGUUUUCAUCUGAUAUCUUUGAUAUUUUAUUUACUGAAUAACCUUCCUAGAAUCACAUAAGCAUAUCGCCUUAUCAUGUCAUAGUGCAGCUGAACCUGAGCGUAAUUGCAGGCUAUAGCUCUUUAUUAUCUAUAUAUAUUGAAUGACUGAAUGGUGACACUAUAUUGAACUCGUCAAUUCUUCA